AGGUGUCUCUCUGUCUCUUUCCCUUUUGAUCUCCCUCUCCUACUCUCAAUUUCUCUCUGUCCUACCCAAUAAAAUGAAAAAAAAAAGUCUCCAGGAGCAGUGGAUUCAUAGUGCCAGCACUGAGCCAGCCCAGCAAUAACUCUGGUGGCAAAUAAAAUAAAAUAAAAUAAAUUCUGGUGGUGAUACACCUGGUUCAGUGCAUACAUUACCAUAUACAAGGAGCAGGGUUCCAUCCCCUACUCCCCAUCUGCAGAGGGGAUGUUUCAUGAUCAAUGAAGCUGGUCUGCAGGUAUCUAUCUUUUUAUUUAUAUCUAUAUCUAUCUAUCUAUUUUCAUUCUCAAUUUUUCUCUACCCCAUCAAAUAAAAUAGAAAGGAAAAAAUUUAAAAAUAAAAUGAAGACUUGACCGCCAGGAGCAGUGGAUUCAUAGUGUUCACGCAAAGUUCCGUUGAUAACCUUGGUGGCAACAAAAAACAAUAACAAGUAAAUAAAUGGAAGCUCUAGUAUCUGAUGGACUGAAAAGAGUUCACUGGGUAGGGGGCCUGUAUUGUAGCAUGUACCCCUCCAUUUUGAGUCCCAGCACUGGGUAGGGGGCCUGUAUUGUAGCAUGUACCCCUCCAUUUUGAGUCCCAGCACCACAUGAGAAGUGCUUUGACAAUGAAUGGUCUCUCUCUCUCUGUGUCUUUUUCUUUGUCUAUCUGGAUGAAAAAGUGACCUAAAGUUGUGAAAUCUUGCAUGCAUUAAGCCCUGGUUCUACCAAGGGGGAAAAAAAGGAUACAGUUAGACUUUAGAAUUUGAAUAAUAGCACCAUGGUUCUGGUAGAAUUUUCAAGAUAGGAGGAAGAGGGGAAGGACCUGAAAACAGCUUUAGGGCCUGGCUGUUUACAGGUGGCAGAAGAAUACUGAGGAUUAGUGCAGAAGAUGAGCUGUCAAGGGGGUAAGAAAACAACAGGAGGAGAUGAAAGAGAGUGAGGGGAAUGAUUUGAGAAACUGACAAGAGGGUUAGGAGAUGGCUCACCUGGUAAAGCACACACUUUCCUCAUGCACGAAGACCUGGCUAUAACCUCCCAUCCACCACAAGGGAGCACUGAACAGGGGAAGCUUCUUGAGUAGUGGAGAAGUGCUGUGAAGUCUCUCCUUUCUUGGUCACUUUCUCCCUUUCUAACUCUUGUCCUCUAUCUUACAAAAAAAAAAAAAAAGUCCACAGGGACCAGGCGAUAGCACAGUGGGUUAAGUGCAUGUGGUACAAAGCGCACAGACCGGCAUAAGAAGGAUCCUGGUUCGAGCCCCCCCCCCCACCCGGCUCCCCACCUGCAGGAGAGUCGCUUCACAAUCAGUGAAGCAGGUGUGCAGGUGUCUGUCUUUCUCUCCCCCUCUCUGUCUUCCCCUCCUUUCUCGAUUUCUCUCUGUCCUAUCUAACAACAAUGAUAGCAAUAACAACAAUGAUAAUAACAACGAUAAACAACAAAGGUAACAAAAGGGGAAAAUAGCCUCCCAGCGAUAACACUGGAGACAAAAAAAAAAAAAAUCCAAAUGGAAGUCAUGGAAUCAUUCAGGCUCAAAGCCCCAGUGAAAACCCUGGUGACAAAAAAAAAAAAAAACAGGCAAGUUUGCCAGGCAGCAAGUCAGUUGCUGCAGUUCUCAGGACAGUGUAGGCUGAGAAAUGGCCAUGGGUGUCAGGAAACCAUCAGGACAGCAGACAGGAGGUCCACAGAAUUAUGGGGGGGGGGGGGAGGAAGCAUCUAGACUACACUGGGUGAAGGGUCAGGGAACUGAGAACUCCACAAAGCAGACUUUUCUUUCAAGAAGGGAAAUACUUGGAUUUCACCAGAGGCUGUGGAUGGGAACCAGUCCCAGCAUUUCCAAGCUGCUCUAGUAGCUGUCAGCCUUCUUGCCAGGCGUUCCAGGAGUCUCUUCACACUGUUGUGACUGGGUUUCAAUUGAUUCCAUUUGUCCAAAGCUCCAUUAGCAUCGUGAAUGUAUUGAUUCUUUUUUUCCUCUCUUAGAACUGGGAGAUACUUUCAGCUGUGAACUUGUUCACCCUCCUCAUUUUACAGAUGAGAAAAAUUGCAUCCCCAGACAUGGGAUGCUUCUCCAAGCUCCUGUGUCCUGGGCACACAGCUGCCCAAAGCUCUCUGCCAUUCAGGGACCUCUGAGCUGGUAUGGUGUCAUGAGAGUCCUGGGCUUCAAUGACAAACUUGAAUUCCAAUUUCAAGCCCCUGUGGGCUUGAAACCUAAAACAAGACAUUUGCUCUGAGUCUUAACAUCUUGAUUAUUGAAGAAUGGUGCAACUUUUUCUUCUGUUGGGUAGGUUAACAUGAAAGAACAUCAAAUGUGUCUAUUGGUUUCUGGGCCCCUCCUUCCCCUGCACAGAGCACCGAAAAUUCUUGCAAUUUCCCCCCACUGACAAGAGCAGCAGGAACAUCUUUCUUUCUGACAUGUGGUCUUUGAUCCUGACUCCCGAGCCCAGGCUCCUGAAAUCCUUGUCAUUUUCAGGGUGCCAAGGUGGAUUUUAUUCUAGUAAAGAGUCUCUAGAUGGUGAUGACAUGGGUAGCAUCAGGAUAGAGCUGGUCACUGGAAGGAUUAAGACAGACAAGAUUAGAAGCUCAAAACCUUGAACCCUGGCCUCACCCUACAGGGAGAGGAGGGAGCUGAAGAUUGAGUUCAGAGUUGAUGGUGCCUGAGAUGAAAUUUCCAUUAAAAGCCCCCAAAGGUGUCAGACUCAGAAAGCUUCCAGGUGGGUGGACAUAUGAAAGAGCAGGGAGAGUGGCACCCCAGAAAGGGCACAGAAGCUCCAUGUCCCAUCCUGUGUGCCUUGCCCUGCACGACUCUUCCAUCUGCUUGUUCAUCUCUAUUUCUUUCUUUUCUUUUCUUCUUUCUGCUUCCAGAGUUAUUGUUGGGGAUCAGUGUUGGCACUACGAAUCCACUGCUCCUGGCGGCCUGUUUCCUAUUUUAUGGGAUAGGACAGAAAGAACUUGAGAAAGGAGGGGGAGAUAGAGAAGGAGAGAGAAAGAUAGACACCUGCAGACCUGCUUCACUGUUUGUGAAGUGACUCCCCUGCACAGGUGAGGGAGUAGGUGGGGUGGGGGGUGUGGCUCGAACUGGGAUCCUUGCACAUGUCCUUGCACUUCAUACGAUGUGUACUUAACCCGGUGUGCUACCGCCCAGCCCUCCAUCUCUAUGCUUUAUCUUGAGUCUUCUAUAAGAAACCUGUUCUCUUGUUUCCUUGAGUUCUAUGAGCCUCUCUAGCAAGUUAUGGAACCCACAUUUUGGUCCAGUGGAAAUCCUGUGCUUGGAACUUAUGAUGGGUAUCUAAUAUGGGGAGAGAGCACCAAACUUAUGACUGAACCCUUAAGCUGUGCAUGUGUGUGGAGGGGGGUGGGGGUAGUAUGAGGUACUCUCUGGGUAGACAGUAUCAGAAAUGAGUUCAGGUUAGCAUGCCAGCUAGUAUUUUUGUAAACAGUCUUAAGGUAUGGAGAAUGAAAAAAAAACCACACACCCACUGUCAGAAGUAUUAUGAUUGGGGUCGUUGUGUAAGAGUAAAGGACACACAGAGAAGUAUGGUAUUUCCUCUAAAAUUAGGACCUUCUUGGCUGCAAGUGGAGAAACUAUUCUCAUAUGACUCACACACAAAGAAAAAAAUUUUUUUAAAAAGGAGGAAAUUUAACUGCCAUCAUACAAAGCUUCAGACACAGCUGGUUCCAGUGCUCAAACAAACACAUUUGGAAUGUCUGUCCAGCCUGGCUCCACUUUUCUGUGUUGGCUUUAUUCUCCGGAAGGCUCUCCAUGAUGGUUGGCUACCAGUUGCUGUUCCCGCUGGAAAAGGAACUUCUCACAGAAAGAGUGUUACAGUUGUGCCAUUGCAGAGAACAGAAUGGGGACUUGAAAUAAAUUUUGUAAAACUAUAGUAAAAGUAAAAUCUACAUCAGUAAAAAAAAAGAAAGAAAGAAAGAAAGAAGGAGAAGAGA